ACGUCACGAUAAUGAGGCGUUCACCCUGAUUGAAUCAGGCUCUGAACGGGGAGCAUGUCAUCGCUGUGCUGAGCACGUCGCGAGCUCCUGCAAAAACUCAACACAACCUCGCCCUUGCUACACAUUGUCUGACG
rfam:Xenorhabdus nematophila ATCC 19061 chromosome, complete genome